GAUGAACGCUGGCGGCGUGCCUAAUACAUGCAAGUCGAGCGAACAGACGAGGAGCUUGCUCCUCUGACGUUAGCGGCGGACGGGUGAGUAACACGUGGAUACCCUACCUAUAAGACUGGGAUAACUUCGGGAAACCGGAGCUAAUACCGGAUAAUAUAUUGAACCGCAUGGUUCAAUAGUGAAAGACGGUUUUGCUGUCACUUAUAGAUGGAUCCGCGCCGCAUUAGCUAGUUGGUAAGGUAACGGCUUACCAAGGCAACGAGGCGUAGCCGACCUGAGAGGGUGAUCGGCCACACUGGAACUGGGACACGGUCCUGACUCCUACGGGAGGCAGCAGUAGGGAAUCGUCCGCAAUGGGCGAAAGCCUGACGGAGCAACGCCGCGUGAGUGAUGAAGGUGUUCGGAUCGUAAUACUCUGUUAUUAGGGAAGAACAAAUUUGUAAGUAACUAUGCACGUCUUGACGGUACCUAAUCAGAAAGCCACGGCUAACUACGUG
rnacentral:rRNA from 1 species